rnacentral:rRNA from 1 species
GACAGAGGGUGCAAACGUUUGUUCGGAUUUACUGGGCGUAAAGCGUGUGUAGGCGGCUUGGCAAGUUGGAUGUGAAAGCCCACGGCUCAACCGUGGAAGCGCAUCCAAAACUGCUUCGCUCGAGUCUCGGAGAGGAAGGUGGAAUGCUUGGUGUAGAGGUGAAAUUCGUAGAUAUUCGGAAGAACACCAGUGGCGAAGGCGGCUCACUGGACCCGGUAUUCACGCUGAGGUGCGAAAGCGUGGGGAG